rnacentral:rRNA from 1 species
UACGUAGGGGCCUAGCGUUGUCCGGAUUUAUUGGGCGUAAAGAGCUCGUAGGCGGUUUGGUGAGUCGGGUGUGAAAUCUCCACGCUCAACGUGGAGGGGCCACCCGAUACUGCCAUGACUAGAGUCCGGUAGGGGAGUGUGGAAUUCCCGGUGUAGCGGUGAAAUGCGCAGAUAUCGGGAGGAACACCAGUAGCGAAGGCGGUGUUCUGGGCCAGUACUGACGCUGAGGCGCGAAAGCGUGGGGAGCGAACAGG